rnacentral:miRNA from 1 species
GGCUGAUUUUCGGGGCUCAGAA